GUGUUCGCUUCGGCAGCACAUAUACUAAAAUUGGAAUGAUACAAAGAAGAUUAGCAUGGCCCCUGCCCAAGGAUGACAUGCAAAUUCAUGAAGCGUUCCAUAUUAAG
rnacentral:snRNA from 1 species